CACUAGAAAGCUAAAACCGUAUAAGCAUUGGCCUUUUAAGCCAAACCCUGGUGAUUAACGACCACCUCUAGUGGAAAUGCCCCAAUUGAAUCCUCUUCCAU
rnacentral:tRNA from 1 species